ensembl:lncRNA
UCUUUUAGAUGAAGGGAAGCCCUUCAAGCCAGGUGUUGGGGGACCUUUCAUUUCAGAGGCAGCUAAUGAGCAGCAGGGCUCGUUUAUUAAAGCGCUAAAUCAGAGGUCUUCAACGUUUUGCGAGCCAAGGUCCCCCAAACUGAUGGCGAGGUGGAGCAGGGACCCCCUAUUCUACGGAACUUGGUCCACCAUCUAUUAUUUUUGAGCUUUGCGCUCUUUAGACGUGAGCAUAAACGCGAUCUGAUUGGCCGGUGCUGAGGCUGAGGGACGCUGAGUGUGUGUUGCGCACUGACAGAUAACGUCUUCUCCAUCAAUUUAUCCGUUCGCUUCAAUAUGUUGGAUUCAUGUUAAUGUGUAUUUAAAGACCAUAAAUAAAAUUCUGAUUCUGAAGACAUUUACAUUUGUGGGGGAAAAGAAUUGUCUUAUCAACGAAAAAUUCCGCAACCCCCCCCCCCUGCAGUACCUUCGCGGACCCCCUGUUGAAGACCUCCGUGUCUGCGUACGUUGAAAGGAGGAAAUGGACGUUCAUACAUUCUGCCAGAGUAUUUAUCCCGCUGCAUUACACAUUAGCAGUGGAUGUUUUACAGUGUUGCUUCCAAAAUGAUCCCUACAAUCAGUAGUUUUCACCUGUUAUUCUAACACAGUUCCACAAAGCUGAAUACAAUUUAUCUGUUCAUCUGCCGAUUUGAGUUCUGAGUUGCUUUAUGUUUGCUGAUCAAAAGGGGCUUCUAGUUGUGGCCCAAAUGUACAAACCAGACUGCUGGUUUCUGUUUGGAGGAUCUAGAAGUCUCUCAGGCUCCUUUUUGUGCGUCCGCAGCGUUGAGCACAUCGGAGCCAGAUGCCGUGUGUGCAAAAACCAAAUUAUCAUGUGAUCGCUUAUGAUAAAAAUGUAACCUUGUACUACUAUCAGAUUGUUGUGUGCAUGUAAAAUACGCUAAACACAUAAUGAAAUGUUCCUGUGAUUUAGUGUGGUGGUCAUAUAAAUAGUCACUCUAUUUGUGUUCAAUUUAGCGCAUUUGUUUGUAUAUUUAAUGAUUUUUAUAAUUCUUUGUAUUUAGUUUUAUGUUUUAAUUAGUAUGUAAAACAAGUUCUUGGAAAGCAAUGAGAUAUUUAGAUAUUGGUUAUUAAUAAAGGCAUUUUAGAGAUUCCUUUCCAGUGCGGUGAAGCAGGAUUCCGCUUUCCAUGUAAUACGUCUUAUAAUCAUCAUUUCCUUUGUUGUUCCAUGUGAAUCUUGUUAAUAUGAAUCAUUUCCUUUGCUUGCCUCGUAGACACUAUGACUUUAAUACGCUGUUAAGGUUUUUCAUUUAGGAAUGAAAGCACUCUGAGCUCACUUUGUCCAGCGCAUUUCUUCUCCAAUUGUAAACACACCCGCAGAAAAUGUAUUUCAGAAAGAUUUUUUUUUAUUACUUUACCCACUAAAAAAAACAUGAAAUAUUGAAAAAAAGUAUAAAUAGCACACACUUUUAUAAAAGACAGUUGUCAGUGAUUCUUUUCACAUUACAUUUGAUAUAUCAGAGAAAAGCUUAUUUCCAGAAAUAACAGACAGCAUAACUCCCGAUGCGCAGGUCCUGCAUCUGAUGAAAACACACUAAAGGAACAGAUGAUGCUAAAGCACACGAGCAUGUGUCUAAACACUGUAGAGCACACCUAUAAAAACAACCCUCCUCUCAGUAUUUCCACGGCAUAGCUUAUGUAAAACGGCCCAGUGCAUUAUGAAGCGUAGUGCAUUUAAAGGUCUAAUCAGUCUAACCCCGUCGGCCAUGGCUGCACUCGCAUGGUGGGAGGUGAUUCAAAGGGAGUCCUAUUCCUAAGCUUUUCCCUCCGCUCUACCAGGGUACCAGGGGAGGAUUACAUCACCGUUUUGUAACCGGUGGGAGGGGGGGGGGGGCUGACUGCAGGGUUCAGUGUUGCAUCGGGCCUGACGGAAGUCUUUGUGGCGUAAAGAGUUUCAGGCUCAAAGUUAAGGCCCCGAAAGGCUGAUUUAAAUCCUCCUCCUCCUCCUCUUCCUCCUCUCUCGGUCCUUCCCUCGCUGCACACCUCCCAUCCUGGACCGCAGCCUCCUGACUCCUGCAUCCCUCGAUUGUAGUGCAAAUGAUGUGAGCCCUUUCCUCGUGCAUGGUCCUAAAAGGAUCCACCUGGAAUGUACAACACAUGAACUUAAUGAGCACAAACGUAAAUAAAGUACACGUUGAGGUGGAAUGCAGACCAGGAAAAUGCAAUCUCAUUUCAACUUGUCAGAACAACUUACAUAUUUGAGAUGCUUUAAAGUAUACGGCAUACUAAAGACAAAAAAAAAUCCACUUGCCAAUUUCAA